rnacentral:rRNA from 1 species
UACGUAGGGGGCAAGCGUUGUUCGGAAUCACUGGGCUUAAAGGGCGCGUAGGCGGCAUAGCAAGUCCGGGGUGAAAGCCCCCGGCUCAACCGGGGAAGUGCCUUGGAAACUGCUGUGCUCGAGGGAGGUAGGGGUCGAGGGAACUUCUGGUGGAGCGGUGAAAUGCGUUGAUAUCAGAAGGAACGCCGGUGGCGAAAGCGCUCGACUGGACCUUUUCUGACGCUGAGGCGCGAAAGCUAGGGGAGCAAACGGG